CCUACGGGAGGCAGCAGUGAGGAAUAUUGGUCAAUGGACGCAAGUCUGAACCAGCCAUUCCGCGUUCAGGCAGACGGCUCUAUGAGUUGUCAACUGCUUUUGUACGAGGGUAAACGCAGAUACGCGUAUCUGUCUGAAAGUAUCGUACGAAUAAGGAUCGGCUCACUCCUUGCCAGCAGCCGCGGUAAUACGGAGGAUUCAAUCGUUAUCCGGAUUUAUUGGGUUUAAAGGGUGCGUAGGCGGUCGGAUAAGUUAGCGGUGAAAUCCCGAGGCUCAACUUCGGAAUUGCCUCUGAUACUGUUCGGCUAGAGAGUAGUUGCGGUAGGCGGAAUGUAUGGUGUAGCGGUGAAAUGCUUAGAGAUCAUACAGAACACCGAUUGCGAAGGCAGCUUACCAAGCUACUUCUGACGUUGAGGCACGAAAGCGUGGGGAGCAAACAGGAUUAGAUACCCGGGUAGUC
rnacentral:rRNA from 1 species